UCUGUAGGGCUUGCUGUCCCUGUUACUCAUGGGUAUUUAUGUUCCAGAGACCCACAUGAGAGAGGGAAGGAUUUCAGGCCCAAGGCCCAAGUGGGGCAGGAAGAAGCACACGCUCACCUCAGUUGCCUUCUUUGCUGAGGGCGCACUGUCCAGCACGCCGGCAGACAGACCCAGAUCAGAAGGCCUGGACUUGGUACGUGAACGCCAGAAGGGCUGAGGUGCUGUUUCCCGAGGAGCUGUUCCAGGACUUGCGAGGAGCCUUUCCAAGCGUUACAGAAGGACGGGCCAGAGUUAACAUGGCAUAGAGUUGUUUGUUGCAUAAUAAAG